UGGGGAAUCUUGCGCAAUGGGCGAAAGCCUGACGCAGCAACGCCGCGUGCGGGAAGAAGGCCUUCGGGUCGUAAACCGCUUUCAGGGGGGACGAAGCUUCCGAGGUUAAUAGCCUACGGGGUGACGGUACCCUCAGAAGAAGGACCGGCUAACUACGUGCCAGCAGCCGCGGUGAUACGUAGGGUCCGAGCGUUGUCCGGAAUCAUUGGGCGUAAAGAGCGUGUAGGCGGCUUGGUAGGUCCCGUGUUAAAGCCUGCGGCUCAACCGCAGAAUCGCACGGGAAACCCCCUGGCUAGAGUCCGGAAGAGGAGAGCGGAAUUCCUGGUGUAGCGGUGAAAUGCGCAGAUAUCAGGAAGAACACCCGUGGCGAAGGCGGCUCUCUGGGACGGUACUGACGCUGAGACGCGAAAGCGUGGGGAGCGAACAG
rnacentral:rRNA from 1 species